GAUGAGGAACGUAGCGAAAUGCGAUAAGUAAUGUGAAUUGCAGAAUUCAGUGAAUCAUCGAAUCUUUGAACGCACAUUGCGCCCUCUGGUAUUCCGGGGGGCAUGCCUGUUCGAGCGUCAUUACAACCCUCAAGCUUUGCUUGGUAUUGGACAUUGCCAGUUUCUGGCAGGUCUUAAAAUCAGUGGCGGUGCCAUUUGGCUUCAAGCGUAGUAAUUCUUCUCGCUUUGGAGAUCCAGGUGGUUACUUGCCAAUAACCCCCAAUUUUUUCAGGUUGACCUCGGAUCAGGUAGGGAUACCCGCUGAACUUAAGCAUAUCAAUAAGCGGAGGA
rnacentral:misc_RNA from 1 species